UUCAACUCAUAGCUUAUAAUGAUGCCAUUUCUCCAGCUGUGCAAGGGCUUUACAAAAACUGUGCCAGGACUUCCCAUGAGGCUGGAUUGCUUGAUUCAUGUUUUAUGAGCCCCACAAUACUGAAGCUCCUUUUCCAGGGACUUGGCAUAGGCAGUCAAUUCCACAUUUGGGAUAGGUCCUCUCUGGAAGUGAAUGUCAGGCAGUGACAUCCAAGUUUCUGCAUGCAGUGGGUUAACAGCCAUGUUUAGGGGGAACAUGAUUUAAAAAGUACAUCUCUCUCCCUCCUCCCCCACAUGCACAAGGCUCACAUCUCAUUAUGGUGCGGCCCAUGUACAUUAAAGUGUGAUACUUG
rnacentral:lncRNA from 1 species